rnacentral:rRNA from 1 species
CCUACGUGCGGCAGCAGUAGGGAAUCUUCCACAAUGGGCGAAAGCCUGAUGGAGCAACGCCGCGUGGGUGAAGAAGGUCUUCGGAUCGUAAAACCCUGUUGUUAGAGAAGAAAGUGCGUGAGAGUAACUGUUCACGUUUCGACGGUAUCUAACCAGAAAGCCACGGCUAACUACGUGCCAGCACCCGCGGUAAUACGUAGGUGGCAAGCGUUAUCCGGAUGUAUUGGGCGUAAAGGGAACGCAGGCGGUCUUUUAAGUCUGAUGUGAAAGCCGUCGGCUUAACCGGAGUAGUGCAUUGGAGACUGGGAGACUUGAGUGCAGAAGAGGAGAGUGGAACUCCGUGUGUAGCAGUGAAAUGCGUAGAUAUAUGGAAGAACACCAGUGGCGAAAGCGGCUCUCUGGUCUGUAACUGACGCUGAGGUUCGAAAGCGUGGGUAGCAAACAGGAUUAGAUACCCGGGUAGUC